UGCGUAGGCGGCUUGGUAAGUCACGUGUGAAAGGCCGGGGCUCAACCCCGGAUCUGCAUGUGAGACUGCCUGGCUCGAGCACGGUAGAGGCGGGCGGAAUUCCUGGUGUAGCGGUGGAAUGCGUAGAUAUCAGGAAGAACACCGGUGGCGAAGGCGGCUCGCUGGGCCGUUGCUGACGCUGAGGCACGAAAGCGUGGGGAGCAAACAGGAUUAGAUACCCUGGUAGUCCACGCCCUAAACGAUGGACACUAGGCGUCGGGGGGAGCGACCCUCCCGGUGCCGUCGCUAACGCAAUAAGUGUCCCGCCGUGGGGAGUACGGCCGCAAGGCUGAA
rnacentral:rRNA from 1 species